rnacentral:tRNA from 1 species
GGGCGAUUAGCUCAGCUGGCAGAGCAGCUGACUCUUAAUCAGCGGGUCGCGGGUUCGAAUCCCUCAUCGCCCA